rnacentral:misc_RNA from 1 species
AUCACCAUGAUAUGACCUGAAAAAAAAGUGAGGUACUACAAAUUUAGAUACACAAGUAAAAUUAUGCAGUGCACUGCACACAUCAUUCGCACUCAAUAGUUUUUUAUGAACCACUGACCUCAUCACGCACAAUUAAAUAACAGAUAAUGAAGGAAGCAUUUGGAAAGUAAUAUUUCAUCUAUCUACGAAUGCAUGAACAGUGAUGUAAUAUAGUUUUAGUAAAAUCACUAAUCAAA